rnacentral:rRNA from 1 species
GAGAUCUAGCAUGUGCGCGAGUCAUUGGGACUAGCGAAACCUAAAGGCGAAAUGAAAGUGAAGGUCGGCCUUGCGCCGACCUAGGGAGGAUGGGCCGCGCCACGUCGCGGCCCCGCACUCCCGGGGCGUCUCGCUCUCAUCGCGAGAAGAGGCGCACCCAGAGCGUACACGCUGGGACCCGAAAGAUGGUGAACUAUGCCUGGUCAGGACGAAGUCAGGGGAAACCCUGAUGGAGGUCCGAAGCGAUUCUGACGUGCAAAUCGAUCGUCGGAACUGGGUAUAGGGGCGAAAGACUAAUCGAACCAUCUAGUAGCUGGUUCCCUCCGAAGUUUCCCUCAGGAUAGCUGGCGCUCGCUUUUGCGAGUCUCAUCUGGUAAAGCGAAUGAUUAGAGGCAUUGGGGUCGAAACGGCCUCAACCUAUUCUCAAACUUUAAAUGGGUGAGAUCUCCGGCUUGCUUGAACAGUGAAGCCGCGAGAUCGGAUCAGAGUGCCAAGUGGGCCAUUUUUGGUAAGCAGAACUGGCGCUGUGGGAUGAACCAAACGCAGAGUUAAAGCUCCUAAAUCAACGCUUAUGGGAUACCAUGAAAGGCGUUGGUAACUUAAGACAGCAGGACGGUGGCCAUGGAA